UACGUAGGGUGCGAGCGUUAAUCGGAAUUACUGGCGUAAAGCGCGCGUAGGUGGUUCGUUAAGUUGGAUGUGAAAUCCCCCGGGCUCAACCUGGGAACUGCAUUCAAAACUGACGAGCUAGAGUAUGGUAGAGGGUGGUGGAAUUUCCUGUGUAGCGGUGAAAUGCGUAGAUAUAGGAAGGAACACCAGUGGCGAAGGCGACCACCUGGACUGAUACUGACACUGAGGUGCGAAAGCGUGGGGAGCAAACAGG
rnacentral:rRNA from 1 species